UCCACGCCGUAAACGAUGUCAACUAGCCGUUUGUGUCCUUGAGACGUGAGUGGCGCAGCUAACGCACUAAGUUGACCGCCUGGGGAGUACGGCCGCAAGGUUAAAACUCAAAUGAAUUGACGGGGGCCCGCACAAGCGGUGGAGCAUGUGGUUUAAUUCGAUGCAACGCGAAGAACCCUUACCAUCCCUUGACAUCCAGAGAAGCGACUAGAGAUAGACGUGUGCCUUCGGGA
rnacentral:rRNA from 1 species